rnacentral:rRNA from 1 species
CCCUUAGAUGUCCUGGGCCGCACGCGCGUUACACUGAUGCAUUCAACUAGCUUAUAACCUUGGCCGAGAGGCCUGGGCAAUCUUGUUAACGUGCAUCGUGAUAGGGAUAGAUUAUUGAAAUUAUUAAUCUUGAACGAGGAAUUCCUAGUAAACGCAGAUCAUCAAUCUGCAUUGAUUACGUCCCUGCCCUUUGUACACACCGCCCGUCGCACCUACCGAUUGGAUGGUCCGGUGAAGCCUCGGGAUUGUGGUUCUUGCCGCUUUAUUGUGGCGUGACCGCGAGAACUUGUCUAAACCUUAUCAUCUAGAGGAAGGUGAAGUCGUAACA